UGGGGAAUAUUGCACAAUGGGCGCAAGCCUGAUGCAGCCAUGCCGCGUGUGUGAAGAAGGCCUUCGGGUUGUAAAGCACUUUCAGCGAGGAGGAAGGUGGUGAGCUUAAUACGCUCAUCAAUUGACGUUACUCGCAGAAGAAGCACCGGCUAACUCCGUGCCAGCAGCCGCGGUAAUACGGAGGGUGCAAGCGUUAAUCGGAAUUACUGGGCGUAAAGCGCACGCAGGCGGUUUGUUAAGUCAGAUGUGAAAUCCCCGGGCUCAACCUGGGAACUGCAUUUGAAACUGGCAAGCUAGAGUCUCGUAGAGGGGGGUAGAAUUCCAGGUGUAGCGGUGAAAUGCGUAGAGAUCUGGAGGAAUACCGGUGGCGAAGGCGGCCCCCUGGACGAAGACUGACGCUCAGGUGCGAAAGCGUGGGGAGCAAAACAGGAUUAGAUACCCUGGUAGUCCACGCUGUAAAACGAUGUCGAUUUUGGAGGUUGUGCCCCUUGAGGCGUGGNUUCCGGAGCUAACGCGUUAAAUCGACCGCCUGGGGAGUACGGCCGCAAGGUU
rnacentral:rRNA from 1 species